GUCAUCGUGAAGGGCAAUGUGUGACUCCUGUAAAACAGGUCUGCUUUAUGGUCUGUGGCUGAGCAAGCAGGAAAGCAGAUGACAGAGGCAAAAGGAAACAUGAACUCUGGGGACUCCGAGGUCCAGCUUACUACCAGGAUGUGUAGGUUGUAGACGUUGAUGAUAAAAAGGGUCUACCGGAACCUGACAAAUACAGAGGUGGAUGUGCAGGGAUGUGCGAGGAGUCGGGUGAAGCCCUGGCGGAGGUCUUCUGUCUUGUCAGUUCUUCUUGAGAUAGUGGAGGUGGAAGAGCAUUGGUGGAGGAACUCUUCCUGAAUUCCAUCUUAUGCUCUUUGACUGCUGCAUACACCAUUUUGGAAAAUAUGCAGAAGAUUGUCAAUGCAGGAUGACACGAGGGGCUCUAUUAUCAAUCAAGCAUACUACAGUUUGUGCCACAAGAGGAAAGCAAUUACUAAGGUGGAAUUGGGCUGUAAACAGUGUGUAAUCAAAGAUGCUAGAAAGAGUGCAAAUAACUGAGGGAUGAUGAUACAUCACAGCGAAGACAGGAGCUUGGCAGGCCUCCUAAGGAUUCCCGCCUGCUGAUGUGGACUGAGGUCAGUUUGGAAGAACGCAAAGCGGUGGCUGUUGGACUCUCGGAAACAACUCAUGUGACAAUGAUUUAAAAUGUUCAAUCAACUCGCUGCUAAUUCCACUAAUGAUUAAUAACAAUUCAUCUAUACUUAAGUUCUGCUUGUGGCUAGUACUG
rnacentral:sRNA from 1 species